rnacentral:rRNA from 1 species
UACGUAGGGACCAAGCGUUGUCCGGAAUCAUUGGGCGUAAAGAGCGUGUAGGCGGCUUGUUAAGUCUUGCGUGAAAUCUCGGGGCUCAACCCCGAGCGGUCGUGAGAAACUGGCAGGCUAGAGUGCGGGAGAGGAGAGUGGAAUUCCUGGUGUAGCGGUGAAAUGCGCAGAUAUCAGGAAGAACACCAGUGGCGAAGGCGGCUCACUGGCCCGUUACUGACGCUGAGGCACGAAAGCGUGGGGAGCAAACAGG